GAUCAUGGCUCAGGAUGAACGCUGGCGGCGUGCUUAACACAUGCAAGUCGAACGAAGCACUUAAGAUUGAUUCUUCGGAUGAAGUCUUUUGUGACUGAGUGGCGGACGGGUGAGUAACGCGUGGGUAACCUGCCUCAUACAGGGGGAUAACAGUUAGAAAUGACUGCUAAUACCGCAUAAGCGCACAGGGUCGCAUGACCUAGUGUGAAAAACUCCGGUGGUAUGAGAUGGACCCG
rnacentral:rRNA from 1 species